rnacentral:rRNA from 1 species
CGGGUCUCUUGGUUCCGGCAUCGAUGAAGAACGCAGCGAAAUGCGAUAAGUAAUGUGAAUUGCAGAAUUCAGUGAAUCAUCGAGUCUUUGAACGCACAUUGCGCCCCCUGGUAUUCCGGGGGGCAUGCCUGUCCGAGCGUCAUUGCUGCCCUCAAGCACGGCUUGUGUGUUGGGCCCCCGUCCCCCCCGGGACGGGCCCGAAAGGCAGCGGCGGCACCGCGUCCGGUCCUCGAGCGUAUGGGGCUUCGUCACCCGCUCUGUAGGUCCGGCCGGCGCCUGCCGAACACAUCAAUCUUUUUUCCAGGUUGACCUCGGAUCAGGUAGGGAUACCCGCUGAACUUAAGCAUAUCAAUAAGCGGAGGACGGCUUGUGUGUUGGGUCGUCGUCCCCCCGGGGACGGGCCCGAAAGGCAGCGGCAGCACCGCGUCCGGUCCUCGAGCGUAUGGGGCUUUGUCACCCGCUCUUGUAGGCCCGGCCGGCGCUGGCCGACGCUGAAAAGCAACCAACUAUUUCUCCAGGUUGACCUCGGAUCAGGUAGGGAUACCCGCUGAACUUAAGCAUAUCAAUAAGCGGAGGA